rnacentral:rRNA from 1 species
UACAGAGGGUGCAAGCGUUAAUCGGAAUUACUGGGCGUAAAGCGCGCGUAGGUGGUUUGUUAAGUUUGGAUGUGAAAUCCCCGGGCUCAACCUGGGAACUGCAUCCAAAACUGGCAAGCUAGAGUAUGGUAGAGGGUGGUGGAAUUUCCUGUGUAGCGGUGAAAUGCGUAGAUAUAGGAAGGAACACCAGUGGCGAAGGCGAACCACCUGGACUGAUACUGACACUGGAGGUGCGAAAGCGUGGGGAGCAAACAGGA